rnacentral:rRNA from 1 species
UACGUAGGGUGCAAGCGUUAAUCGGAAUUACUGGGCGUAAAGCGUGCGCAGGCGGUUGUGUAAGACAGAUGUGAAAUCCCCGGGCUCAACCUGGGAACUGCAUUUGUGACUGCACAGCUGGAGUGUGGCAGAGGGGGGUGGAAUUCCGCGUGUAGCAGUGAAAUGCGUAGAGAUGCGGAGGAACACCGAUGGCGAAGGCAGCCCCCUGGGCUGACACUGACGCUCAGGCACGAAAGCGUGGGGAGCAAACAGG